CUGCACACAAUUAAGCCAACCAUGUUGUUUUCCUCAUGGGGGUUGGCCAAUGUGCAAUGGCUGUAAACAGCAGCUUCCUCAAUAGUGUAUGUGGGCUGUUGCGCACAUGGGUUGCUCCAAGGGACGUGGAGACAGCC